rnacentral:sRNA from 2 species
AUCCAUAUAUACACAUAUACAUAUAUACAUGAGUACUCCACGAUUCCUUGCCACAGGCAAACUAAAGAACGUCACGUAGCCCGUGAGCCUACCUCGGUAUGAGGCAACGUAGCCUCUCCCUCUCGAACCUUAGGUCGGACACAGGAAGCCGAUGGAAACAAAUGGCAUCACGAUGUAGCCACAACUCUGUCCUCCGCACAUCUACGGGUUACACUUUCUCUUGAACCUUUCUAUCACCAGCCACAGCUCAUCGAAAACCAGCCUCACGCUAAACCCAAAUCCCCGUCGAUCCGCGCUUUGUCUUGCACCAACACAACACACAUGUGGAGGCCCCUCCAGCCGGCCACUCAAACCUUUCUUCUCUCCUCUCUCUGCGCUUCCUAGCAAGCAAGAUCACCGACAGAGCAGCCGCCUCCGACAUAUAUCCAGACUCCCAAUCAGGGGGGCGGGGUUAAUCAUUAGAAUAUAUACAUAGAUCGUCUCCCUCGUCACGUAUUGUAUUGUGGUUGAGUGAUCUGCAAUCUACCAUCCGCAUACAGCUUAGUGGCCCCUCCAUCCGGCUUCUUUUUCUUCGUUUCCUUUUUUUUGCUUUUUCCUUCCUAUUUCGUCCUUGUAGGCUGGUGAUAUUUUUAGAGCGUGUCCGGGGCACAGAUCUGUAUAUAGACAUCUGUAUCUGUCUACGGAGGACAUGGGAGCCUGGCACUCAUUCGUAGAUGGGAUGAUAACAAAUCCUCUUCCAGGCUGCAGGGACUCCCUUAGACAAGAGCGUGAUCUAUCUCAAAAUCGAGCUUCGACGAGUGCCUGCCAUUCAUAAGGUUCUUCACUUGGUCUUCUGAUCAACGGGGGAAGAUGUAGGAGAAGAGAGAGGAGGAGGAGGAGGACACAAGAGUUCCCGGAGCC